rnacentral:lncRNA from 1 species
CCCUCGAGAGUCUCUAACCAAAUACAAUCUUAAUAUUUUUAUCAAACUUAGUUGUCUAAUUAAAUUUCAAGCAAAAUAAAAAGGAAGUUCAAGCAAUUAUAUUGUGAUAUGUGCAAAUGGGCUUCUCAAAAUUGUUUGAGUGUCUCAAAUGAGUUAUUCUUCUCACAUUUCUAUAUUUUCUUUCUUUUUUCAUUUUUUUUCUUUUUAUAUUGGAUAGAAAUCCUUUGAGAAACUCUCAAUGUGGGUGCCCUGAGAUCCCCAAUGCAAUACUUCUUUGCGAUGUGUAAAUUUAUAUAUUCUGAGAGUCCAUGUGAGAAUACCCUAAUUAUCAUGCAUGUUCUAUGCUUAAUUUGAAGCUUGAGGUUUUCUUUCAGUUUAUUUGGUAGGGAGGGAGUGUAAAUGAUGUUCGUGGAUUGAUCCCAAGCUUUAAAUGUAUCGCAUUCCUUACCAUUUUCUUGCAAAUCAGUAGCUAAGAGAAAAAACACAUUCAAU